UACGUAGGGGGCGAGCGUUGUUCGGAGUUACUGGGCGUAAAGGGUGUGUAGGCGGUUGUUUAAGUUUGGUGUGAAAUCUCCCGGCUCAACUGGGGGGGUGCGCCGAAUACUGAAUGACUAGAGUGCGGGAGAGGAAAGUGGAAUUCCCGGUGUAGAGGUGAAAUUCGUAGAUAUCGGGAGGAACACCGGUGGCGAAGGCGGCGACCUGGGUCGAGACUGACGCUGAGGCGCGAAAAGCGUGGGGAGCAAACAGG
rnacentral:rRNA from 1 species